AGAAUCAACGCUGGCGGCGUGCCUAACACAUGCAAGUCGAACGAGAAAGUGGAGCAAUCCAUGAGUAAAGUGGCGCACGGGUGAGUAACACGUGACUAACCUACCCUUGAGUGGGGGAUAACCUAGAGAAAUCUGGGCUAAUACCGCAUAAUACCUUCGGGUCGAAGGAGCAAUUCGCUUAAGGAGGGGGUCGCGGCCGAUUAGUUAGUUGGCGGGGUAAUGGCCCACCAAGACUGUGAUCGGUA
rnacentral:rRNA from 1 species